rnacentral:rRNA from 1 species
CCUACGGGAGGCAGCAGUGAGGAAUAUUGGUCAAUGGACGAGAGUCUGAACCAGCCAAGUAGCGUGAAGGAUGACUGCCCUAUGGGUUGUAAACUUCUUUUAUAUGGGAAUAAAAUGUUCCACGUGUGGGAUUUUGUAUGUACCAUAUGAAUAAGGAUCGGCUAACUCCGUGCCUGCAGCCGCGGUAAUACGGAGGAUCCGAGCGUUAUCCGGAUUUAUUGGGUUUAAAGGGAGCGUAGGUGGAUUGUUAAGUCAGUUGUGAAAGUUUGCGGCUCAACCGUAAAAUUGCAGUUGAAACUGGUCUUCUUGAGUGAGCGAGAAGUAUGCGGAAUGCGUGGUGUAGCGGUGAAAUGCUUAGAUAUUGCGCAGAACUCCGAUUGCGAAGGCAGCAUACCGGCGGCGAUCUGACGCUGAGGCACGAAAGUGUGGGUAUCGAACAGGAUUAGAUACCCCAGUAGUC